rnacentral:rRNA from 1 species
UUUGGCCUACGGGGCGCAGCAGUCGGGAAUAUUGCGCAAUGGAGGAAACUCUGACGCAGUGACGCCGCGUGCAGGAAGAAGGUUUUCGGAUUGUAAACUGCUUUAGACAGGGAAGAAACAAGACAGUACCUGUAGAAUAAGCUCCGGCUAACUACGUGCCAGCAGCCGCGGUAAUACGGAGGAUGCGAGCGUUAUCCGGAUUUAUUGGGUUUAAAGGGUGCGCAGGCGGUCUGUUAAGUCAGCGGUCAAAGCCCGGGGCUCAACCCCGGCCCGCCGUUGAAACUGGCAGUCUCGAGUUGGAGAAA